rnacentral:rRNA from 1 species
CCAGCCCGCUCAGAAACUUAAAGGAAUUAGACGGGGGACCCGGCACAAGCGGUGGAGCAUGUGGUUUAAUUCGAUGAUACGCGAGGAACCUUACCUGGGCUCAAAUGUAUGUUGACGUAUUCUGAAAGGGAUACUUCUUCGGACAAUAUACAAGGUGCUGCAUGGUUGUCGUCAGCUCGUGCCGUGAGGUGUCGGGUUAAGUCCCAUAACGAGCGCAACCCCUAUCAUUAGUUGCCAUCAGGUCAAGCUGGGGACUCUAAUGAAACUGCCUACGCAAGUAGUGAGGAAGGUGGGGAUGACGUCAAAUCAGCACGGCCCUUAUGUCCUGGGCUACACACGUGCUACAAUGGCCGGUACAGAGUGAAGCGAAACCGCGAGGUGAAGCAAAACGCAGAAAGCCGGUCUCAGUACGGAUUGGAGUCUGAAACUCGACUUCAUGAAGUUGGAAUCGCUAGUAAUCGCGCAUCAGCAUGGCGCGGUGAAUACGUUCCCGGGCCUU